rnacentral:rRNA from 1 species
CCUACGGGCGGCAGCAGUCGAGAAUCAUUCACAAUGGGGGAAACCCUGAUGGUGCGACGCCGCGUGGGGGAAUGAAGGUCUUCGGAUUGUAAACCCCUGUCAUGUGGGAGCAAAUUAAAAAGAUAGUACCACAAGAGGAAGAGACGGCUAACUCUGUGCCAGCAGCCGCGGUAAUACAGAGGUCUCAAGAGGUGUUCGGAAUCGCUGGGCUUAAAGCGUGCGUAGGCUGUUUCGUAAGUCGUGUGUGAAAGGCGCGGGCUCAACCCGCGGACGGCACAUGAUACUGCGAGACUAGCGUAAGGGAGGGGGAACCGGAAUUCUCGGUGUAGCAGUGAAAUGCGUAGAGAUCGAGAGGAACACUCGUGGCGAAGGCGGGUUCCUGGACAUUAACUGACGCUGAGGCACGAAGGCCAGGGGAGCGAAAGGGAUUAGAUACCCUAGUAGUC